rnacentral:snoRNA from 1 species
CUUGCACACUGUUAGAGCCCGGCGCUGCCCUGUCUGUGUGGUGUGGGGCGUAGGAUGUGUGCUAAAAAAAAAUGCUUGGCCUCCCUAACUCACCCCCAUUUCUGAACCACAUGGGGAUUGGUGCAGAAGUCUUGCCACAAAA